rnacentral:lncRNA from 1 species
UUCUUCUGAGCAGCCCAGUCCUCAGCCAAUUUCUUGUUGGUAGCAGAAAGAGUAGAGGCGUCUGAAGCUUUUUGCAUGACCUCGCCUUCCAGAUCUUUACAUCGGCGCUUCACCUUCUUCAACUCAUCUUCCAUAGACUGGUAGUCACGAAGACGAGACAGGGAAGAGAGGCGGCCUUGAAACAAAUAAGCGAGCUGCAAAAAGAAAGAACGAGUAAAAAUAUACUCAUAAAAAUAGUAAAACAAAAGUACUUACGUUGCUCAGGUUCUGUCCGAUUUCUUCGACAGUCCGGUCCAUCGGAUACCCAG